AGACCCGAAACCCGGUGAUCUAGCCAUGGGCAGGUUGAAGGUUGGGUAACACUAACUGGAGGACCGAACCGACUAAUGUUGAAAAAUUAGCGGAUGACCUGUGGCUGGGGGUGAAAGGCCAAUCAAACCGGGAGAUAGCUGGUUCUCCCCGAAAGCUAUUUAGGUAGCGCCUCGUGAAUUCAUCUCCGGGGGUAGAGCACUGUUUCGGCUAGGGGGCCAUCCCGGCUUACCAACCCGAUGCAAACUACGAAUACCGGAGAAUGUUAUCACGGGAGACACACGGCGGGUGCUAACGUCCGUCGUGAAGAGGGAAACAACCCAGACCGCCAGCUAAGGUCCCAAAGUCAUGGUUAAGUGGGAAACGAUGUGGGAAGGCCCAGACAGCCAGGAUGUUGGCUUAGAAGCAGCCAUCAUUUAAAGAAAGCGUAAUAGCUCACUGGUCGAGUCGGCCUGCGCGGAAGAUGUAACGGGGCUAAACCAUGCACCGAAGCUGCGGCAGCGACAUUUAGGUGUUGUUGGGUAGGGGAGCGUUCUGUAAGCCUGUGAAGGUGGCCUGUGAGGGUUGCUGGAGGUAUCAGAAGUGCGAAUGCUGACAUAAGUAACGAUAAAGCGGGUGAAAAGCCCGCUCGCCGGAAGACCAAGGGUUCCUGUCCAACGUUAAUCGGGGCAGGGUGAGUCGACCCCUAAGGCGAGGCCGAAAGGCGUAGUCGAUGGGAAACGGGUUAAUAUUCCCGUACUUGGUGUUACUGCGAAGGGGGGACGGAGAAGGCUAUGUUGGCCGGGCGACGGUUGUCCCGGUUUAAGCGUGUAGGUGUGUGUUCCAGGUAAAUCCGGUUCACUUUAACACUGAGGCGUGACGACGAGGCACUACGGUGCUGAAGCAACAAAUGCCCUGCUUCCAGGAAAAGCCUCUAAGCAUCAGGUAACAUCAAAUCGUACCCCAAACCGACACAGGUGGUCAGGUAGAGAAUACCAAGGCGCUUGAGAGAACUCGGGUGAAGGAACUAGGCAAAAUGGUGCCGUAACUUCGGGAGAAGGCACGCUGACACGUAGGUGAAGUGAUUUACUCA
rnacentral:rRNA from 1 species